rnacentral:rRNA from 1 species
UACGGGAGGCAGCAGUGGGGAAUAUUGCACAAUGGGCGAAAGCCUGAUGCAGCUAUGCCGCGUGUAUGAAGAAGGCCUUAGGGUUGUAAAGUACUUUCAUCGGGGAGGAAAAAACAAAACUAAUAAUUUUAUUUCUUGACGUUACCCGAAAAAGAAGCACCGGCUAACUCCGUGCCAGCAGCCGCGGUAAUACGGAGGGUGCUAGCGUUAAUCAGAAUUACUGGGCGUAAAGAGCACGUAGGUGGUUUUUUUAAGUCAGAUGUGAAAUCCCUGGGCUUAACCUGGAACUGCACUUUGAAACUGAAAUACUAGAGUAUCGUAGAGGGAGGUAGAAUUCUAGGUGUAGCGGUGAAAUGCGUAGAUAUCUGGAGGAAUACCUGUGGCGAAAGCGGCCUCCUAAACGAAUACUGACACUGAGGUGCGAAAGCGUGGGGAGCAAACAGGGAUUAGAUACC